rnacentral:rRNA from 1 species
GUGAUUUGCUUAAUCUCAUCCUCUGGCCUGUUGUCGUCUGCUUUUGGACGGAACGCUGGAUUAUCAUCAUAAUAUUUUUCGGCCAGGUUCAAUAACGGUCUCAGGUUGAUGCCGUACACGUCUUCAAUAAUAUCCAGGUUGUCGUAGCGGGCACAGAUGCGGAUAAUAUUGGCCAGGCACACUUUGGAACCGGAAUAGGCGCCGAUCCAAAGGACAUCGUGAUUUCCCCACUGAAUAUCGACAGAAUGAUAGUUGAUCAGUUCUUCCAUAAUUCUAUCCGGCUGCGGUCCGCGGUCGUAAAUAUCGCCGACCACAUGCAGAUGGUCGACCACCAAUCGCUGAACGCUGUAAGCAAGGCCGGUGAUCAGCUUAUCGGCUUGGCCAAGCUCAAUGAUCUGAUCAAUGAUUUCGGAGUAAUAUUGCUCCUUGUUGCCAGCUUGUUCUGUUUUGUAUAACAGCUCCUCUGUAAUAUAAGCAAACUGGGCAGGCAGUGCUUUGCGCAGUUUGGAGCGGGUAUACUUGGAGGAGCAAUAAGAAACGAGCUUAAUCAUUCGGUUAAUGGUUUCUUUAUACCACUCGUUUAAUGCUGCUUUCGCAUCAAAGUCAUGUUUGAUCAACUUCAGUUUGUCUUCCGGAUAAUAGACCAAUGCCGCUAAUUCAUCGAUUUCUCUAUCGUAAAUGACACCGCUGAAGAUGUCGCGUAUCUUCUCUUUGACUCGUCCUGAACCAUUGCGCAACACGUGCUGGAAUGCCUGAUACUCUCCGUGCAGAUCACUGACAAAAUGCUCGGUGCCUUUUGGCAGGUUCAAUAUCGCUUUCAAAUUAAUGAUUUCUGUUACAACUUUUUCUUCACAAUCGUAUUUUUGUGCGAGUAGAUCUAGGUACUUGCUUUCCAAAAUCGUCCAUCCCCUUUUUAGAAUAAACCCCUCUAUAUGAUCAUGUGCAUGAUAAGGUGAAUGUAAAAGUAUGUCAUUGUUUUUCAUCAUUGGACCUUUAUAUGAUAGUACCGCAUAACUGCUUUUAUAGACAAUUGAAACGAGUGAAUAAAGUGAAACACAAAAAAAACCAGAUGUUAAAUCUGGUUUCCUGUUCAAAGCAAACUAUUAUUGUUUUUCUUUCACCAUCUUUACAAAGAGGAAAAAGAUAAUGAAUACGAUAAAGUAGUUCAUUGGAUUCUUAACGAUGCUCAUCUCUAGUGAAAUCUGUAAGAGUAUCCAGAGCGCAAAGAUGGCUAGUAUGGCAGGAGUGAUAAUGUUGUACAUGUCGACCACCUUCCGUAGUGAAGAGCCCUAUAAUAAAAAACUAUUAGCCUGUACCACAAACUGCGACUGCUCAUAAUUAUACGAAAUCUUCGAGUAAUCAAACGGCUGCCCAUUUGUCAGGUGAAAAAUACUUUCUAUAUACAGCUUCGGCAGUCCCGCCUCUAAUCCCAAAUAUUCCGCUUCUUCCUCAUUAAGCUGGCCCACGUGCAGAAACAAAUCAGAAAAACCAAUCUUCAACCCCAGUCCUUCCCGGAUGUAAUGGAAGAUGGAGUGGGAGACGAUUUCGUUGUUUAAAUACGUCACGAUGGAUUUGGUGUAAUAGGAUUCUUCGUAGCAAAGGGUCUGGCCGUUGAUGUAGCGGACCCUUUUGACAUAGUAGAUGUCCUCGUUUAUUUCGAUAUUCAGGUUUUCCGCCGCUUCCGGUGUUGGCUUUCUCACGUCCAGUUCGAUGACUUUUGAGGUGACGUUGAAAUCCUCGAGAUCUUUUUUAAAUCCCUGAUUCGACAGAAGGCUGAUAUAGCCUUUUCGUUUAUGUUUUCUGACGAAAAUGCCGCUUCCUCUGACCUGAAAGAUCGCGCCUUUUUGCUCUAAUAGCUCGAGGGACUUUGUGAUGGUGCUUUUGCUGACUUCAAACUGGGCCAUGAGGGUUUCUAGGACUGGCAGUUUGUCUCCCUGCUGAAGCUGGUGUUCUUCUAUAUAUGUUUCAAUUUCCGCUGCGAUUUGCUGGUAUUUUAACAUACGCAUUCCUCAUUUAUUCGUUUAGUUUCACUUGUCAAAAUUAUAGCAUAAACCGCUUACAAUGAUAGUUAGUGCGUAAAUAUUUUGUUUCGGCAUUGAUAAAUUAUACCGGUACAAUUAUAAUGAAAGCGUAACCAAAAUGAAGGGGUGGGUAAAAUGUCGGGGAAAGUGAGAGGUUAUACGAGACUAGCAAAAGACAUUUUAGAGGCCGUAGGCGGGGAAGAGAAUGUGAUUGGGGCUUCUCGCUGCGCUACCAGACUUCGAUUGGUGCUGAAGCGGUCUACCCCUAAAGCGAAGGAUAUCGUGAAAUCGAUGCUACCAUCCCGGCAUGAUUACGGUUGUCAUGGUGGCGCCUACAAGCCUGCGUUCAGCGUCCGGCGUCGAAUUGCUUGCGCACAUCGGACUGGAUAGAGUGACAUUAGACGGCACGUCUUUUUCCUUGAAGGUAAAAGAAGGCGAUACCGUCAAAAAAGGCGAAGUGCUUGUUGAGUUUGAUAAAGCUUUCAUUGAAGAGAUUGAGGAAAGUGCAUUACAUCAAAAAAUAUUUACAGUCGUAAGCUGAGGAGGAAUUAAACAUGGGAAACAUGCCAAAGGAUUUUUUAUGGGGCGGUGCUUUAGCUGCCCACCAAUUUGAAGGCGGAUGGAAUCAAGGCGGUAAAGGGCCGAGUGUCGUCGAUGUGAUGACAGCGGGUGCGCACGGCGUGCCGAGAAAAAUCACGGACACGAUUGAAGAAAACGAAUUUUAUCCAAACCAUGAAGCCAUUGAUUUCUAUCACAGAUACAAGGAAGAUAUCGCUUUGUUUGCGGAAAUGGGAUUAAAAUGUCUGCGGACGUCCAUCGGCUGGAGCCGGAUUUUUCCGAAAGGCGAUGAGGCUGAACCGAACGAAGCUGGUUUGCAGUUUUAUGAUGAUGUGUUUGAUGAAUUGCU